CAUCCUCGCCCUUUUGACUCUAACCACUUAACCGAGUACAGCAUCACCUUCCCGAGAACGGACCUGUCCUCCUGGUCAAACAUUCUCGUCACAUCUUGGGAGAAGAACGGGAGACAUUUUAGCAUACCUCACCGACAGACGGACCUGUGCAUACUGACAACGACUUUCCUGUCAUGGACAAACGGGGGUUCUACUAAGUACAUUGCACAAUGACCAGGCGGGCAAGCAAACACUACGAAAGCGAAUCGUCUUCCGACCAAAUCGCGUCUUAAGCCUCCUUUGUUAAGCCCACCGUCUUGAAUCCUCGAUCGAAGUUCGAACCCGAAGUCCUUCUAGGCUCCAGUCCCCCGGCUGGCAUAGUACUCCAUGUCUAUAGCCGCGAAUGACGCUGUCCCCCGCGAGUUUAGCCCUCUUACUCGGCUUGAUUAUCCUCAGCGUCAUCGAUCGAAACAUAGGAAAACUGCACAGCAAGGCGCCUAGCGGCUCCCCUAGCCCUGCAAGUAGGGCAAUGCUGGUAGAUUUCUACGGCCAUUCCAGCAUAGCAGUUGCUGCAAGUGCCCUCGCCGCGACUCUGUCUCUUGAGAAUGGCAAGCUUCAUCAGGAGGCCUGGUUUGUUACCGAGGUGCUCUAAACACUUGUAUGAACGGCCGCGCGCCUUCUAAGCGCGAGAAGAGCAUCCAUCUUGGCUACAGGACUUGGGAUGGUCCGCGUGGAGGACCUCCGCGGCAGCCCGAAUGAUAACUUGGACCUCCUCCUUGGGCGUAAACUGUGUCACUGUGAAAAGCGCACGAACAGCGGGAUGGUGCGCCUGGGCGUGGGGGAUUGCCACAGGCAUAUUGACAGGAAUAGGCUGGUUGGCCGCAACAGGAUGGUUCAUGCCAGCAGGAUGGUUGAAUGCGAGAGCCUGAUUGGGCGCAAAAGGCUGGUUGAAGACGACAGGGUGAUCGUUGUUAAGCGGCUGAUUGUUGUUGCUCAGGUAAUUAGCUGAAAAGGCGGGUUGAGCCUGCUGGCCAUCGAAGCUGCCUUGAACCCCACCACCGUGAUGGGAGUCGAUAUGUGAACCCUGAUUGAGAACGGGUGCGUUUCCUUGAUGACCGUCGAUCUGCGGCUGAGCAGCAUAAUCGGUGUU